rnacentral:rRNA from 1 species
AGAGUUUGAUCCUGGCUCAGAUUGAACGCUGGCGGUAUGCUUAACACAUGCAAGUCGAACGGUAACAGGCCUUCGGGCGCUGACGAGUGGCGGACGGGUGAGUAACGCGUAGGAAUCUGCCUCAUAGUGGGGGACAACGUGGGGAAGCUCACGCUAAUACCGCAUACGCCCUACGGGGGAAAGCGGGGGAUCUUCGGACCUCGCGCUAUGAGAUGAGCCUGCGUUAGAUUAGCUAGUUGGUAGGGUAAAGGCCUACCAAGGCGACGAUCUAUAGCUGGUCUGAGAGGACGAUCAGCCACACUGGGACUGAGACACGGCCCAGACUCCUACGGGAGGCAGCAGUGGGGAAUAUUGGACAAUGGGCGCAAGCCUGAUCCAGCAAUACCGCGUGUGUGAAGAAGGCCCUAGGGUUGUAAAGCACUUUCAAUUGGGAGGAAAACCUGCCGGUCAAUACCCGGCAGCUUGACAUUACCUUUAGAAGAAGCACCGGCUAACUCCGUG